CCUACGGGAGGCAGCAGUGGGGAAUAUUGCUCAAUGGGGGAAACCCUGAUGCAGCAACGCCGCGUGAAGGAAGACGGUUCUCGGAGUGUAAACUUCCGUUUUUAGGGAAGAAUAAUGACGGUAGCUAAGCAGCAAGCCACGGCUAACUACGUGCCAGGAGCCCGGGUACGAAGUAGGUGGCAGGCGUUGUCCGGAAUUACUGGGUGUAAAGGGAGCGCAGUCGGGAAGCCAAGUCAGCUGUGAAAACUUCGGGCUUAAAUUGUAGACUGCAGUUGAAACUGGUUUUCUUGAGUGAAGGAGAGGUAGGCGGAAUUCGGAGUGUAGCGGUGAAAUGCAUAGAUAUUCGGAGGAACACCGGUGGCGAAGGCAGCCAACUGGGCUUUAACUGACGCUGAGGCUCGAAAGUGUGGGGAGCAAACAGGAUUAGAUACCCCUGUAGUC
rnacentral:rRNA from 1 species